rnacentral:rRNA from 1 species
UCAAGAAACUUCCACAAUGGGCGAAAGCCUGAUGGAGCGACGUCGCGUGAUGGACGAAGUGCUUCGGCACGUAAACAUCUUUUAUGUGGGAUGAAAUUAUUGACAGUACCACAUGAAUAAGGGGCUCCUAACUCUGUGCCAGCAGGAGCGGUAAUACAGAGGCCCCAAGCGUUAUCCGGAAUCACUGGGCGUAAAGGGUGUCGAGGCGGUUGUAUUAGUCGUUCGUAAAAUCUACGAGCUUAACUUGUAGGCGGCGAACGAAACGGUACGACUUGAGGUUUGGAGAGGUGCGUGGAACUCACGGUGUAGGGGUGAAAUCCGUUGAUAUCGUGGGGAACGCCAAAAGCGAAGGCAAUUCACUGGCGCAUACCUGACACUGAAACACGAAAGCCAGGGUAGCGAAUGGGAUUAGAUACCCUUGUAGUCCCUGAGCGGGCUGGCAAGGCGCAU